AGAACAAUUGAUGACAGGCAAGCUUUAUUUGACAUGUGUACAGCAAGGUGUAAUUAAGAGGAGCAAGAGCAAUACUUUGUAUCGAUGUAUGGAUACUUCCUAACCCGUGGUGAGUUGCAAUGUCUCUAACGUAGAAGAUGGAUAAACGACAGGUUUAUGACUAUGGUGGCAAAGACAUUCGUUGGAGAUCAAAAGGAAAAAGAUGGGCGAGUCAACCGCCAUAUAUUUUCUGCAGAUUUCAUGCAGAAAAUGGUGGCGAAUCCUUUAAGGUGGAAAUGGGAGGACCAUGAAAGAGAAAUAUUACCUGAAUAUAUUGGAUACAAUAUCGGGGAUUGCGAUUUCAUUUU